rnacentral:rRNA from 1 species
AUGUCCAAGGUCAAUAUGGAAAUUCUUUCAGAGGUUUUCCCUUACUUUGUCCGUGUCAACAAACAAUUAUAAAUACCCCGACUUUGUCAGAACAGGUCCGAGUCAAAUAACAAUGAUUCGAAGUACUUCUUUUUCCAUUACACUAUUUCAGAAACCUAA